rnacentral:rRNA from 1 species
GAUGAACGCUGGCGGCGUGCCUAAUACAUGCAAGUCGAGCGAACGGACGAGAAGCUUGCUUCUCUGAUGUUAGCGGCGGACGGGUGAGCAACACGUGGAUAACCUACCUAUAAGACUGGGAUAACUUCGGGAAACCGGUGCUAAUACCGGAUAAUAUUUUGAACCGCAUGGUUCAAAAGUGAAAGACGGUCUUGCUGUCACUUAUAGAUGGAUCCGCGCUGCAUUAGCUAGUUGGUAAGGUAACGGCUUACCAAGGCAACGAUGCAUAGCCGACCUGAGAGGGUGAUCGGCCACACUGGAACUGAGACACGGUCCAGACUCCUACGGGAGGCAGCAGUAGGGAAUCUUCCGCAAUGGGCGAAAGCCUGACGGAGCAACGCCGCGUGAGUGAUGAAGGUCUUCGGAUCGUAAAACUCUGUUAUUAGGGAAGAACAUAUGUGUAAGUAACUGUGCACAUCUUGACGGUACCUAAUCAGAAAGCCACGGCUAACUACGUG